UCUGGUCUUGGGACACUGUCAGGUGGGCAGUUUGACUGGGGCGGUCGCCUCCCAAAAGGUAACGGAGGCGCUCAAAGGUUCUCUCAGUACGGUCGGAAAUCGUACGUAGAGUGUAAAGGCAAAAGAGAGCUUGAUUGCAAGACAUACAGGUCGAGCAAGGAUGAAAAUCGGACUUAGUGAUCCGGUGGUUCUGCGUGGAAGGGCCAUCGCUCAACGGAUAAAAGCUACCCUGGGGAUAACAGGCUUAUCUCCCCCAAGAGUCCACAUCGACGGGGAGGUUUGGCACCUCGAUGUCGGCUCAUCACAUCCUGGGGCUGUAGUAGGUCCCAAGGGUUGGGCUGUUCGCCCAUUAAAGUGGUACGCGAGCUGGGUUCAGAACGUCGUGAGACAGUUCGGUCCCUAUCCGUCGCAGGCGUAGGAAAUUUGAGAAGACCUGUCCUUAGUACGAGAGGACCGGGAUGGACGUAACUCGGGUGUACCAGUUGUCCUGCCAAGGGCAUGGCUGGGUAGCUAUGUACGGAAUGGAUAAGCGCUGAAAGCAUCUAAGCGCGAAGCCAACUUCAAGAUAAGAUGUCCCACCGCAAGGGUAAGACCCCAGAAAGACUAUCUGGUUGAUAGGUCGAAGGUGUAAGUUCAGCAAUGUAUUUAGCUUAUCGAUACUAAUAGGUCGAGGACUUGACCAAU
rnacentral:rRNA from 1 species